rnacentral:lncRNA from 1 species
CCCUCCCCUCUUCUCUACAUCCUCCCUACUCUCCUUCCUCCCCUCUUCACGUCCAAAGAGUUGGACAUCCAUCUGGCAAAGAUCCAAGGCAUGGUGAUACCUGAAACAGAAGGCUGCAGGACAUCUCGAUAGGCUGUUACUCCAACUUCAGAAGGAGUUCUGAAGUACUUUCAAAUCAGAUAAAGAUCUGAUUUUUGAAGUGU